rnacentral:rRNA from 1 species
UGCCAGCAGCCGCGGUAAUACAUAGGGGUCAAGCGUUGUCCGGAUUUAUUGGGCGUAAAGCGUACGCAGGCGGUUUGUUAAGCAAGAUGUGAAAGCCCUGGGCUCAACCUAGGAACCGCAUUUUGAACUGGCAAACUAGAGUCUUGUAGAGGGGGGUAGAAUUUCAGGUGUAGCGGUGAAAUGCGUAGAGAUCUGAAGGAAUACCGGUGGCGAAGGCGGCCCCCUGGACAAAGACUGACGCUGAGGUACGAAAGCGUGGGGAGCAAACAGGAUUAGAUA